AAGCCUGUGGAAACGUGGUCUCGUGGGAGGUGAACUCUUCUCAUGUUCCUCCAGCAGCCACAACUAAAGUACUGUAUCAGGACUGCCUUGGAACAUGAAACCAACUUACCGCUGUACUUUCCAUCUUGGAUGCUGAAGUUCUAGGGUAGGGUUGUCAGUAAAAUGCAGGACACCCAGUUAAAUUUAAAUUUCAAAUAAAUAAGAAAUAAUUUUUAGCGAUUAUUAUGGAGUUGUAGACCUGGUGUGGGGAGUAUGGGGAUCAACCUCAGAAGCCUCCAGAGAGAGAUUGGUGGACUCUAGGAGUGUCGAUCUCAGACUGACCAUCGCUGGGGCCACAUCCAAGCAGCAGCCCUUUGUCCAGAGCCAUUUCCUCCACUGGCCUCAGUUUCUGUAGGGCCCAGAUGGUGCUGAAGUCAGGUGCCAAGGGGAAAGUGACUUUACCCACGAGAGAGAUUUUUAAAUAUUCCCCCAACUGCUCCGGUGGGACCGUCUAGUUACAGGAAAACAAGCUCAAGGCUCCCACUGAUUCUACAUUACGGUGAGUUGUAUAAUCAUUUCAUUAUAUCUUACAAUGUAAUAAUAAUAGAAAUAAGGUGCACAAUAAAUGUAAUGCACUUGAAUCAUCCCGAAACUAUCCCUCCCCAGUCCAUGGAAAAACUGUCUUCCCUGGUGCCAAAAAGGUUGACGGCUGUUCUGCAGCAAGGUCUUUAAACAAUGCCUGUGACAUAGACAAUCCCUCAGAAAGAUGCUUAUCUAACGUUCCCAGUGGUCAUGACUUUUGGCAAGAAAGUUGGAGAUGUGACCAGCUGCACAUGACUUUACCUAAAAGCUUGCUAUGUAAAGGACACUUUCUGGAGAGUGGGUGUAGGAAUUCACUGUCUCACUGCUGCCCAAGACAGCACUACUGUUUGUAAGCCCCUAUUAAAUAUUUCUUUCUGAGAAAG
rnacentral:lncRNA from 1 species